UGAUGGUGAAGAAGAAAUAGUCCUAAGCGAUAGUGAUACAGACGGCGAUUAUUAAAUUUGAGUCAAUUUCUGAUCAUGUCCUCCUCAAACCAGAGCGUAGUGGAAGCACGCAGCAUACUUCAUCAGCUGUUAUGGAUGGACUUUCCGACCCUAUCUUCUUCUGGUAGGGCCAAAGAGAUACCCGGUCUGGUUGAUAAGUAUAGGGAGGAAUAUAUCAACGAUGACUCAGAUGAAAGAUUAUAUAAUCUUAAAGAAAUUUCGGACCUGAUGGAGGAAUAUAACAGCGGGAAACUUCAUAUGAAAGAUACGAUUUUGUCACUUACACAUCUGAAUGGAGUCCCGAGAGGCCAGAUUUCUCCUAUUGUGAUUGACAUGUUGGUUGUAACAAUAUCGAGUGCUUCACACAGUUUGACAUAUACUUCUGCAGUGUACGAUAACUUACGCAGGGAGUACUUCGGAUAGUUGAUCUGAAGUUGUUUCGUAUUACAAUGAAAUAAAUGUAUUUAAUAUAGAAUGACAAUGUGUAAUGAAAUUUUUAACUUUUACUAGAAUGUUUAUGAUUUUAUUA